rnacentral:rRNA from 1 species
AUUGAACGCUGGCGGCAGGCCUAACACAUGCAAGUCGAACGAGUGGCGGACGGGUGAGUAAUGUCUGGGAAACUGCCUGAUGGAGGGGGAUAACUACUGGAAACGGUAGCUAAUACCGCAUACCAUCGGAUGUGCCCAGAUGGGAUUAGCUAGUAGGUGGGGUAAAGGCUCACCUAGGCGACGAUCCCUAGCUGGUCUGAGAGGAUGACCAGCCGCACUGGAACGUAGAGACGGUCCAGACUCCUACGGGAGGCAGCAGUGGGGAAUAUUGCGCAAUGGGAGCAAGCAUGAUGCAGCCAUGCCGCGUGGAUGAAGAAGGCCUUCGGGUUGUAAAGUACUUUCAGCGGGGAGGCGUUACCCGCAGAAGAAGCGCCGGCUAACUCCGUGCCAGCAGCCGCGGUAAUUC